rnacentral:misc_RNA from 1 species
CAAAACGACAUCCAUGCCCCCCUACUUUCCUCUUCUCGCAGAACCAGUGACCCAUGAUUUCUCAAACUUGAAUCAUCCCUCUCUUAGAUAGGGCAGUGGAGCUCCCCCAAAACCCACAAAUCUCUUCACUUAUAACCCCUAUUUCGAAUCUUUGCACCACAGAAAGGAUUCGUAUUGCCCUGUUUUCCUCAUUCACGACUUUGCUUCUAUCCAUAUCACCCG